rnacentral:rRNA from 1 species
UACGUAGGGUGCGAGCGUUUGUCCGGAAUUAUUGGGCGUAAAGAGCUCGUAGGCGGUCUGUCGCGUCGAUCGUGAAAACUUGGGGCUUAACCCUGAGCUUGCGGUCGAUACGGGCAUGACUGGAGUUCGGUAGGGGAGACUGGAAUUCCUGGUGUAGCGGUGAAAUGCGCAGAUAUCAGGAGGAACACCGGUGGCGAAGGCGGGUCUCUGGGCAGUAACUGACGCUGAGGAGCGAAAGCGUGGGGAGCGAACAGG